AAAGUACUCCCUCCUUCCCAAAAUUCUUGUCUUAGAUUUGUCUAGAUACAGAUGUAUCAAGUCACAUUUUAGUAUUAGAUACAUCCGUAUCUAGACAAAUCUAAGACAAGAAAUUUGGGACAGAGGGAGUAGUUG
rnacentral:pre_miRNA from 1 species